AUGAAAUAGAGUAACUGAUUACCCUAAAAAAAGGAAUCAAUACUUAUACUCCUCUAAAAGGAGACCUAGCAAAAAUGGAGCGGAUAUUUUCCUAUCAAUAGAGCUGUACAGUCCAGUGAGGCUACAGAUCUUAACAAAUAAGGAAAUAAAAAAAAAAAUCAAAAUUUGAACCUAUUAAAUUCCUUAACACUAUUCUAAUGUAUUUUGGGCUCACAAUAUAAUUGACUGUAGCUUUCUCACAUUCAUUUCGCAUUCCCAUUCAUACAAUUCAUUCAUAGCGAGCAAUCAUACACAAGCUAAAUUCUAUUAUAUAAGCCAAAAUACUUCAAUAAUCAAUGUCAACAUUACCCUAACAAUAGCUAAUCUCCAGGACUAAUGUGAAAUCAAAUAGAGUUUUCUAAUUAAAACAGAGUGGGGAAUAAAGCCCUAUUGACUUAAAUAAAUGCCUCAUACAAACUCUAUAUAAAUUAUCUACUCAUAGAUAAACUUUCUUUAUACUUAAACAAAUUAAUAAAAAUGAUUGUUAACAGCCAAAUGCUGAAAUCUAACCUAACACUUUAAAUGUGUGUCUAACAGUUUGAAAAUCUUCUUAUCUUGACACUUGGUGUCUAAACAAACGAAUCAUCAAAACUAGCACUUAAAUGGAGCGAACUGAACUUCAAGCAUUUACCUCAUUGCCAGAUAUGAUAGUUCUACAAGUGUUUUUCCAACCCUAUUUCUUAUGUAGGUCAUUGGCAUUCCCUUUUCUCUGCUAUUCAGCUAGACUCUUUCUUUGGACUUAUAGGGCUUUCAGUACCCAGCUCGUUCUGGAGUUUAACAACAGAGAUCACUUGCUAUCCUAUCAUAUCAACUCUUAGACUAUAUCUGCCUUACACACUCUCAUUAGAAAUUCUCUUUGGGCUUUAUUCUGGACCUAUGGAAUUAGAGGGUGUCAAGUUUAAACCCAACGCAUAUUCCGAACCAACCCAUAGCGAAUAUAUUACAAGCACAGCAGAUACCUAAUGCGUCUAAGUUCCUUAGUCAUUCUUAAAGUUUAACCAAAAUUCAGAACCUUAAAAUAAAAUUGAAACAACAUAAACUGUUGGACUUUAAGUCUUAGAUUACAACCUGCCUCCUAAUACAGGAUUGUAGUUUAAUUAAACACAAGAGAAGUAAAGCUGAAAACCCUUAGAUUUACCUCCUAACAUUAAAUCUCAAUUAAAAAAAAAACUGAAAACCCCUUUACAGUGACACUUAAAGAAAUAAAAAAAAAACAAAAUUGUAGCAAAGAAAAAAAAACUUAUAUCCUUUUAAGACCACAUUUUAAGACCUUCAAAUCACUUCCUAAUACUUCAUACCAUGAUCAAAAAUUUAGCUAAACUCAGUACACAUUCUAUAGGUUUACUCAUUGGCAGCCUGGGCACGAUUUACACCCCGUGGGCUUCUUGACCCUGGUCGAACGGCGUAUUUCAGGGCCGCCUACAUUGCCACCAAUUGCCCUAUUUACUACCCCUAGCGGGUUUCCUAAGAUUGCUGUCUCUCGUGGUUCCUCUUGUCCUACAGUUCUAUGGGAAUAUAUUGGAUACGUUGGGUGUACCCAGUGAUCCUCAUCAUCAAUGACACCAUCUAUUUGUUCCUGUGCGUUUUCGUCCCCUGUAGGGUAAAUCUUUACCGGGGCAUGAUAGGCCUUCAUUCUAUCUAUGUGGAUCUUAUCUAAGUUCCCCGUCUCCAAAUCCUUCAAAAGAUAAACAGUGUCACCCGCCCUUUGUAAUACCUCAUAUGGUCCUCUGUACCUUGGCUCAAAUUUAUGACGUCCUUUCGUCUCAUGCAUUCUCUUUACCAAAACUAGAUCCCCUGUCUCAAAGGUUCUUAACUAUCUAGCUUCAAACUCAGCCCUGGCUUCUUGUUGCUCCAUCAAGUAAGUUUGCCUCACCAUCUCUCUCGUUUUCUCAACCUCCUCCACCAGUUCCCGCUCAUAGAAGACCGCCAUUUCGGUAAUUGAAUCCUCGCAUACAGGAUUAAGCUCCCCUUCCUGGAAAGGUUGUGGAAGCCUCAGCUCAUGUCCGAAGACCAGUUUCGCUGGAGUAAACCCAGUACUAUCAUGUACAGUGGUUCUGAUAGCGAGAGCUACCAUUGGUAAGGUGGUAUCCUAGUUGUUCCCCGCUGUACACCUGCGUAAAGAUUCUAUUACCGUCCUAUUGAGUCUUUCUACGGCGCCAUUACUCUGAGGUUUCCAGGCUGUGGUAUUUACUGCACCAACCCCCAUGGCCUUGCAAACUCCCUUAAAUACGCAACUCAUGAAUGCUGAACCUCGGUCAGAGAGUAUUGUUUUUGGUACUCCAAAGGUAGUGAUAAUCCUCUCCAAUAAGGCCCUAACCACUGUAUUGGCACACUGGUCCUUAGUAGGAAUCAGAAUUGGGAACUUAGUAAAUAGAUCCACAAUAGUCAAGAUAGUCGAAUAACCUCUUGGGGUUGUCUCCAAUGGUCCUAUGAAGUCGAGAGCUAGGUGCUCAAAGGGUUUUUCGGGUCUAAAGUGGAGAGCACUAGCGGCUUUGGUUACGCCUUGAUUUGACAGCUGACAGCUCUCGCAUCUGCGUAUAUAAUUCCGGACUUGAGUCCUCAUGCCAGGCCAAUAAUAGUCACCCUUCAGCCUUCUCAUAACCUUUUUAACUCCGAAAUGACCUCCAGUAGGGAUAUCAUGAUGAUAGCUGAUCACUGUUUCCCUAAAACCUGUAGGAACCACCUUCACCCAGGUACCCCUUUCAUUCUUUGUAACGAGGUAAUUGUCUAGUAACCUAUAUUCCCGGUUAUUAUACCUCUCCGUGCUAUUUGGUUCUAAUUUUGUUAACUUAUUUAUUACUGGAACCCAUCCUUUCUCUUGAAGUAAACCUUCCCAUAUCCGAUUACUAUUUAAUAAGGGGGGCCGAUGGUCUCUUACCACUGCAGCCACCACCCUCCCAUCUUGCGAUAGGUUUGGAUCAUCCUCGCACGGGAACCUACUAAGAAAGUCGGCUACCGUGUUUUCCUUCCCCGGCACAUAUAUGAAUGUAACGUUGAAGUCUUGGAUGAUCUCUGCCCACCGAGACAGUCGAGCGUUCUUGUAAUCAGACCCCUUAUUAUACGUAAUCGGUUUAUGGUCGGUAUGUACUUCUACCCUACUGCCCACCAGGAGGUGUUUAAAGUGUUGCAGGGACAACACCACUGCAUAAGCCUCCCUUUCUAUUGUAGAAUAGCGGAUCUCAGGACCAGUCAGUCUCUUGCUAUAAUAAGCAAUUGGUCGCACUGUCCCAUUGACCUCCUGUUGGAGGCAGGCGCCUACCGCUAUUCCACUGGCGUCAGUGUUCAGGAUGAAAGGUAUCCCUAUUGUCGGGUGAAUUAAUAGUGGCUCGCUGGUUAAUAUUCCCUUCACCGUCUCAAAGGCUGACUGCUCUAUCGUACCCCAAGCAAAUCUAUGUCCCUUCCUUAAUAGGUUGCUCAGUGGAGCCAGGACCUCACCUGCGUUGGGGAUAAAGCGUCGGUAAUAGUUAACAGUACCCAAUAGACUUCUGACUGCCUUGAUGUUAUGAGGUCGUUUCAAAUCCCUGAGAGCGGCGACAUUAUCCCACAUGGGUUUAAUCCCAUUUUUGUCAAUCACAUGACCCAGGUACUCUACCGAGUCCCUGAAGAGAUAGCUCUUCCCGUAUUUGGCCUUCAAACCGAACUUACUCAGGCGUCCGAGUACAGCGGCAAGGUCCGCUACAUGCUGCUCGUGAGAGUCGCCGUAGACAAUGACGUCAUCGAUGUACAGGCGAACGCAUUUAAACAACAAGUCACCUAGGACCAAGUUCAUGGCCCACUGGAAGACUUGUGCUGAGUUUUUUUGCUCCUUGUGGCAAACGCGUGAAGCGGUAUCUCCCCCAGGGCAGAGAGAAGGUAAAGUAAUCUCUGUCACUCUCCGGGAUGUGAAUCUGGAAGAAUCCAGAAGUCAGGUCUAAUGUGCUGAAAACCUUUGCACCCGCGAAUGCGCGCAGAUUGUCUUCAACACGGGGUAUUGGGAACGGGAAGAAUUCAGUUGCCUCAUUGAUCGGACGUAGAUCCAUGGUGAUGCGGACACUACCAUCGGUUUUGGCAACCGGGAAUAGAGGGGAAUUCCACAGAGAGGUACUCCCUUCUAUUAUCCCUACUUCCUCCAGUUCAUCUACCAACGCUUUCACCUUUGAGACCAAUUUGUUCGGGAUCGGAUAUUGCCUCCUAUAUACUGGUUUGCUGGUCAGCAUCCUCAGCUUGGGGGCUGUGAUGGUGGAGCCAUUCCCCAUAUCAUUUUUAUCAUUGCAGAAGCAAUGACUGAAGGCCCUGAAAAUAUCGUCGUCCGUGCGGACUUCGUUUAGGGGUAUCCUGGGUGGUUGAGGAGACAUUUCUAUCGUUUGUAAUGAGGAAAGAAAGGCCGACUUGGUCGGAUCUUCCUUUCUUUCGUAGUCGGAUCUGAUACCUCCGUCAUAGCUGAGGUGUAGCUUCAGAGCUCGGAAACCUGGUAAUCCGAGUAUGCCGUUAAAUCCUAUUUCCGCCAUGUGGCAAUACUCGAAGGUCGUUCUUACCUCCCUAAUGGGCUUACCAUUCACCACUGCCCCUAUUUCAAACACCUCACUCCCUAAUGACCUUAAAGAUUUUCCUGAUAUACCUUUAAGGUAAGUAGGCUUGUCUAGUCCCUCAGUGCAUAAAUUUAAAUUGUCAAUAUUUACAAUGUUGGCCUCUGAGCCUGAAUCUAUGAUAAAUUUUAGAGACCUCUCGCCCAGAGACCUCCCCUUAUUUAAGAUAUAUACAUUUAUGGCAGGUAAACUGGCCGCAAAUCCCCCUCCUGCCUUGAGGCAAGCCGGACCUAGUUUUUUCUCUGCUUCUGCUGGCAGUCUCGGAUGAGGUGUCCUGGCUCGCCGCACCCGUAGCACUUGGGGGGCGGUCUCCCUGCACCCUGCUUCUUGUAGUCCACUCCAGGGUUCUCCUCCCUUUCACCGUUGGGUACCCUCCUUUGUUGUCUAGGUGGGGAUGGAUUCCGUCGUUGUCUGGGUGGUUGUUGUGCUGGUCUCCUCUGCCAGUUCCUGAAGGGAGCUCCCCUCCUGUUAUCUUCAUAAUCCCUUCUUCCUGCGGGGUGUGAUGGCCACCUUCCUCCCCCGUUAUUUGUACUAUUGGUACUCCCCCUUUGUCUCCUAAGGGCUGUAUUCUCGAUUUCUAGUGCCUCCAUCUUCUUCUCCAGCUCGGCUAACUUGUUGCCCAUGUCACCCAGCCUCUGGCCGUUCCUGUCGGCGCUGGAGCGCUGCGCCUCCCUGUAGUCCUCCUCCCUUUGUUCCAGCCACUGUAGCUUGGUGACUAGGGUCUCCCAGGGUUCGCCUUGGUAUAGAUGAGCCUUUUCCCACAGGUUGGGGCAGAGUCCUUCGAUGAAAACCUCCGCGAUCUCCGAGAUGCCUAUCUUAAGGCCAUCCGACUCUGCUCCCGCUGCAAGGUCGCUCACCCGCGCGGCGAAGUCUCGUACUUUCUCCCCGGCCCCCUGUCUACAUGAGAAGAACUGGCUCCUCAUCUCCCUUGUAGAGACCCUCUUUCGGAACCGCCCCUCUAGACUCGCCUUCAACUCUUCGUACCCGAGGCGGAUUUGCUGGGAUUGUAGGGCAAACUCCCUCGCAGCCCCCCGGAGGUGGUUGUCCAAAAGGAUUCUUUUCCUGGCGUCGUCUAGGGCCCUUAGGUCGUAGACAAGCUCAAAGUCCUUUAUGAACUUUGUGAAGGGGACUAUGCCCUUCCCUUCAAACUUCUCCAGGUUGUACAGCAUGGAGGGCAGCUGGGCUUGGCUAGUUGCGGCAUUCUCUUCAUCAGCAGGCAUGGUCCUCAGUUGUUGGAUCUACAGGAACUAGGUAUUAGUCAUUCACCCUGGUUGCAACGGUAGUAUCAGGACCUAUAGAGGCGGGCGAAGUAGGGAAUACACAACAGAAGAAAGGGGAGAAGCCCUUCUUAAUCAUGUUCCUAAAACACUGUGAAGUUCGCGUUUCUAAAAAAAAAAUGGUAAUCAAAACAUAGAAAACCAUAUGUGGACGCAUAAGGAAAUUUACUCUCAUCAGUGCGGGAGAUGGAGGAGCUCACUGUUAGACAGUGUCGUGUGGAUGUGGACGCAAACAUCGCGUCUCUGCUGAUAUCACACUGUUGAGUAAUAAAACUCCAUAUAUAAAGAAAUCCUAGUGACCCUAAUAGACCACCCAUAGCUCGCCUAGUUCACCUCUAGACAGUGUCAUGCGGAUGUAGACGCAAACAUCGCGUCUCUGAGUUAUCACACUGUCAAGUAAGUAAAGAUUCUAUAAAAAGAAAUCUGAUUGAAAAAAAAAAUAGUAAUAAAAACAUAGAAGACCAUAUGUGAACGUAUAAGGAGGUUUACUCUCAUCAGUGCGGGAGAUGGAGGAGCUCACUGUUAGACAGUGUCGUGUGGAUGUGGACACAAACAUCGCGUCUCUGCUGAUAUCACACUGUUGAGUAAUAAAAUUCCAUAUAUUGUUACAUCAUGA